CUGAGCUCCUGCCCCAGCCCCUGAAGCCCCAGGGGGCCUCUAUUGGGUUCUCAUAGGGCGUAUUCCUCACAGAUGCUGCCAUGUGACCAUUUAUGUCCUCCAGUAUCCGUGGCAUCCCUGGGACUCUCCACAUUGCUGUCUUUUUCCUCAGCAAGUGCCGUCUUGCCUUACAGCAUAGCAGGUGU
rnacentral:lncRNA from 1 species